AUGUUCUUUUUUGUGUUGUCAUUGCCGUGGGUGUGAGAUGUUGGAGCGCGAAAAGUGAAGUGUGCGUGUGCCCGCUGUUGCACCGACAGCUUGUUUGUGUUACCAGUCCUGCCGGUGAAGUAAUAAAAGUGAGCUCGUGUUUCUACACCAUACUGUCGUGGUCUGAGUGGUGUAACACUUACAAUAAAUUGCUUGUAAAACUAAAAUC